rfam:Hordeum vulgare subsp. vulgare, WGS project CAJW01000000 data, contig: morex_contig_1934874
AAGAUACUUCCUUCGUCUUAAAAUUCUUGUCUUAGGUUAGUCUAAAAAUCGAUGUAUCUAAAUACUAUAACAUGACUAGAUACAUCCAUAUUUAAACAAAUCUAAGACGAGGAUUUUGGGACGGAGGGAGUAGAUA